rnacentral:rRNA from 1 species
AUUGAACGCUGGCGGCAGGCCUAACACAUGCAAGUCGAGCGGAUGAAGGGAGCUUGCUCCUGGAUUCAGCGGCGGACGGGUGAGUAAUGCCUAGGAAUCUGCCUGGUAGUGGGGGAUAACGUCCGGAAACGGGCGCUAAUACCGCAUACGUCCUGAGGGAGAAAGUGGGGGAUCUUCGGACCUCACGCUAUCAGAUGAGCCUAGGUCGGAUUAGCUAGUUGGUGGGGUAAAGGCCUACCAAGGCGACGAUCCGUAACUGGUCUGAGAGGAUGAUCAGUCACACUGGAACUGAGACACGGUCCAGACGACUACGGGAGGCAGCAGUGGGGAAUAUUGGACAAUGGGCGAAAGCCUGAUACAGCCAUGCCGCGUGUGUGAAGAAGGUCUUCGGAUUGUAAAGCACUUUAAGUUGGGAGGAAGGGCAGUAAGUUAAUACCUUGCUGUUUUGACGUUACCAACAGAAUAAGCACCGGCUAACUUCGUG